GAUGAACGCUGGCGGCGUGCCUAAUACAUGCAAGUCGAGCGAACGGACGAGAAGCUUGCUUCUCUGAUGUUAGCGGCGGACGGGUGAGUAACACGUGGAUAACCUACCUAUAAGGCUGGGAUAACUUCGGGAAACCGGAGCUAAUACCGGAUAAUAUUUUGAACCGCAUGGUUCAAAAGUGAAAGACGGUCUUGCUGUCACUUAUAGAUGGAUCCGCGCUGCAUUAGCUAGUUGGUAAGGUAACGGCUUACCAAGGCAACGAUGCAUAGCCGACCUGAGAGAGUGAUCGGCCACACUGGAACUGAGACACGGUCCAGACUCCUACGGGAGGCAGCAGUAGGGAAUCUUCCGCAAUGGGCGAAAGCCUGACGGAGCAACGCCGCGUGAGUGAUGAAGGUCUUCGGAUCGUAAAACUCUGUUAUUAGGGAAGAACAUAUGUGUAAGUAACUGUGCACAUCUUGACGGUACCUAAUCAGAAAGCCACGGCUAACUACGUGCCAGCAGCCGCGGUAAUACGUAGGUGGCAAGCGUUAUCCGGAAUUAUUGGGCGUAAAGCGCGCGUAGGCGGUUUUCUAAGUCUGAUGUGAAAGCCCACGGCUCAACCGUGGAGGGUCAUUGGAAACUGGAAAACUUGAGUGCAGAAGAGGAAAGUGGAAUUCCAUGUGUAGCGGUGAAAUGCGCGGAGAUAUGGAGGAACACCAGUGGCGAAGGCGACUUUCUGGUCUGUAACUGACGCUGAUGUGCGAAAGCGUGGGGAUCAAACAGGAUUAGAUACCCUGGUAGUCCACGCCGUAAACGAUGAGUGCUAAGUGUUAGGGGGUUUCCGCCCCUUAGUGCUGCAGCUAACGCAUUAAGCACUCCGCCUGGGGAGUACGACCGCAAGGUUGAAACUCAAAGGAAUUGACGGGGACCCGCACAAGCGGUGGAGCAUGUGGUUUAAUUCGAAGCAACGCGAAGAACCUUACCAAAUCUUGACAUCCUUUGACAACUCUAGAGAUAGAGCCUUCCCCUUCGGGGGACAAAGUGACAGGUGGUGCAUGGUUGUCGUCAGCUCGUGUCGUGAGAUGUUGGGUUAAGUCCCGCAACGAGCGCAACCCUUAAGCUUAGUUGCCAUCAUUAAGUUGGGCACUCUAAGUUGACUGCCGGUGACAAACCGGAGGAAGGUGGGGAUGACGUCAAAUCAUCAUGCCCCUUAUGAUUUGGGCUACACACGUGCUACAAUGGACAAUACAAAGGGCAGCGAAACCGCGAGGUCAAGCAAAUCCCAUAAAGUUGUUCUCAGUUCGGAUUGUAGUCUGCAACUCGACUACAUGAAGCUGGAAUCGCUAGUAAUCGUAGAUCAGCAUGCUACGGUGAAUACGUUCCCGGGUCU
rnacentral:rRNA from 1 species